GUUUAAAAAAAGAAGUAGAUUUUACGUAACUCUGCCUCUUUAAGAACAAGCCUCAUAAGUAUUGACGUCCCUAAAAGUCUCUUUGACAUGAAUGCAGCUAAAAUAUUUCAGAAUUUACACUUUCUUCUUUUGGAAAGCGUGACUGGUCAGUUGUCCCUGUACUUUGUGUUCCGUUGGUUUAAACACGACGUGACUCAGCUGCCUGCUGUUGAAGCCACUGGCCACUUCCUAGAAAAUGACCCAUAAUUGUCCUGCCGGAUAAACAUGGUGAGCUCCAAAGUUUACUGUCAGAGAAGAAGGACUGCUUGAGGUCAACCAAGUCUUCAUAACAACCACUGGAUGCCAUCUAUCCAUCUGCUAAUCUGGUUACACCAGAAAAAGACUUUCCUCUCCUGCUCCAUAACAAACCGUCCACCAGUAAACUGGAAACAGGUCGAAACUGGAGUCCCUCAGCCAGAUAUUUACCCAAAAUCUAAGGCUAAAUUCAUCAGAGAAACGUCUGAACAGACACUAAAUCAACAUGCUUCACGGUGGUCCCCGAAAACUUGGAAACUGUGAAUAAGUUGAAAAGAGUCAUUUCCUAGCAUGGGAUGAGUUUUACUCUGAGUACAUAAAACACAAUCAAAGGUUCAAUGUUGGGGUGAGAUUGUGUGUCUGCACUAAAAGUUGACUCAAAUCAACUGAGUGUUGUGUUUUAGAAGUUGUGAGCUUUCUAGACGAGGGUAUGAAGUGAACUAAAAAUACAAACAUGAUUGGCCUUGAGUUGAUAGAAUAUUUAGUGGCUGCAUUUUCUAAGACAUCUCCACAUUUGCUCGACAGUAGCUGUAGAUUACUAGACUGUAACCUGUAGAGUUGGGAGGUUCAGAAAUUAAGAUUUUUGUCUUGAACUCGUUGAGGUUUAAGAAGUUCACCCCUAUCAAUUUACAAUAAUUCACUUAUGUAGCCAAACAAUAUCUGCAGUGCACCACGACUGUCCGAUAAGCUGGUCCUUUCAGAGAAAGAAUGUUCCCUCUUUUGCUCUGUUUCAAAAACUGGAGUUGCUAACUUUCUAGACAACAAAUUUACAGCAAAGUUUUACCCAUGAACACGAAGCUAUUGCUUUGAAGAGCUUCGGUUCAACAAGUCGCUUGCUUGUUCGGUUGGAACAGUUUUCCUCAAAUUUAAGUUGCUUAAACAAUUUGUUGCUCUCAUAAAGGCUGAUUUUGUGUGAUAUGGAAAGAUGAAAUCAGUUAAAUAGUGUAUCAAACCAUCGCAAAUAAACAAUAAAAGUAUAUAUUUUUUCCCCUCUUGUACCUGAUGCUUUCAGUCGCAUUAAGUACACGUUUCUCUUCAGCAUCUCAACAGGGCUUGCGAAUAAGUACUUCAAACAUUUUAUUGCAAAAUCACAUGAUAUCAUAGAGAAAUGACAUAGACAAGACAGAUAACUCAAUUCCACCUCGAAGAUCUUUUUAUUUGUCCGGUUUUGUUUGCAUUUACGUUUCACGGAUGCAUCUGUUGUCGUCCUUAACCGUUUCGUUAUUGCUACAUCUCAAACCUUUUCUGAUACAACAGUAGUUUAAAGAGAGAGAAAAGAA